UACAGGGGGGGCAAGCGUUGUUCGGAAUUACUGGGCGUAAAGAGCUCGUAGGCGGUUUGUCGCGUCUGCCGUGAAAGUCCGGGGCUCAACUCCGGAUCUGCGGUGGGUACGGGCAGACUAGAGUGAUGUAGGGGAGACUGGAAUUCCUGGUGUAGCGGUGAAAUGCGCAGAUAUCAGGAGGAACACCGAUGGCGAAGGCAGGUCUCUGGGCAUUAACUGACGCUGAGGCGCGAAAGCUAGGGGAGCGAACAGG
rnacentral:rRNA from 1 species